UCUACUGGAACUACGUUCAUGGUAAGUCAAUGUUAUACCAUUUCUCUUUAUUUUCUUGCAUGUAAUCAGUGCCGUGCUUAGAGUAUUAGGGGUCUAAGGCAAAUGACAAGAAAAAUUUUCCAUUUUGCUCUAAUUAUUUCUAAAAAAAUAUAAGUUGUAAAUCAGAUUUAAAUAUUAUUUUAUAAGAUAUUAUAAAUUAUUAAUGCUUUUUAUUAAUUUAUAAUAAAUUUUCAACCACAAAAAAUAACACAAAAAUAUAUAUUAACCAAUAUACUAAUUUUCUUUUUUUUAGAUACCAACCAAUAUACUAAAUAAAAAUACAAAAAUUAGGGGCCCUAAAACUUACUUAAUAUUAAGGGGUCUUAAGGGCUCUGCAUGUAAUCAUGGGAUUCUAAAUUAAACUGAAAUUUAUUACGUCUAAUAUUUUAUAUACAAACCCCCUAAAUUCUGUAGUGGCAAUAGAAUAAGUUCUGUGUAGCGUAAAUUGAUUUUAGACUCCCACUAAAAUACUAUCACUUACUUUUUACUUUUAAUAAUGGAAAGAUUCCAAACCCAAAGAACACAAUUUUUAGAACAAAUUGGCACUAUAUCCAAAAAUGGCUACGGUAGAAACAAAACAGACCGCUGUUAUAGACCCUCAAGGUCAUGAGUCAUGACCGUAUAAUACCAUCAUCACCUGAAUAUAUCUACCCCACUAUAAUAAGCUUUUGAGCUAACACUCAAGUUGGUGUUCAAAAAAAUAAAAUUGACAUUCAAGUUAUUCUCAAAGUCAAACCAAUUUUCAAUGAAAAGUAUUAAAUAAUUGGUGCAGAUGGGGAGGCAAAGGUGGCCAAGGAGAGGAUCGAGGCGGUGGAGCCGGAGAAGAACCUGAUCACGUUCAGGGUUAUAGAAGGUGAUCUGAUGAAAGAGUACAAAAGCUUCUUGCUCACCAUUCAGGUGACCCCUAAGCAUGGUGGGCCAGGGAGUAUUGUGCAUUGGCACCUUGAGUACGAGAAGAUUAGUGACGAGGUUGCUCAUCCCGAGACUCUCCUCCAGUUCUGUGUCGAAGUCUCCAAAGAGAUCGACGAACAUCUCCUGUCCGAGGAAUAGAGGAAAGUACUCCUCGUGUGACUAUCUUAUCCGUACGUGUAUGUGUGAUUGAAGCAUUUCGAUUUCAGUCUUUGAAAGCUCAAUAAAUAAUGAGUGUGCUUGAUAUAUAUGAGUGACAUAUAAAAUGGAAUUCAGGAAGUGCUAUAUUGUACAUGUAUGUAUUAUGUUUUUUUUAUUAAGUGUAUUAUGUUUGUGUGUCUUAAUUAUAAAUCUAUAAAAGCAUGUGAUAUAUGUUUGGAUCAACAACACUUAUCUGUCUCCUUUCGUAUUUUUGUAUCAACAACAUACAAUAUACAUGUUUGAUUUUAGGUGGUGACACAAUAACAGACACUAAGAAAAUUACUAUAAAGGUUCAAAAAAAAAAAACAAAAAUUACUAUAUAAACAUGUUAAAUAUCAUGCUCUCUGCUUUUAUAUAUUUAAGAGCUCUAGGUUUGUAUUAUAUCGUAUGGAGAUGCACGGAAGCAUUCUACCCAAAAAUAAUGUGUGAUAGAGGACAUGCAUAUAGUAGUCUAGAUAUAAUUUCUGAAGAUUAUUAUUUCAUCAACAAAGUAAAAGGGGUUCUAUAUAAGAAGAAAAAGACUAAAGGCAACAGGUUAUGAAAAUAAUAGUGUUCAGUGAUAAAUUAUGUAACAAUUACCUUUCAUUUAUAUAUUUGUUAUAUUAGACAAAGUUGUAUGUGCUCAUUUGGUGGUUUGUAUAAUAGUGUCGUAUUGUGUCCUUUUUUGUUGACACGCCAAAAAUUAUGUGUGCAAUUCGACAUUUUUUUCCUUUAUAUAGGUUUUAGAUGCAUUUAAUACGAACUUAAAUAUUGAUGUAAUAACAUUGUUUACUAUAUAUUUUUCAUUUGCGUAUGAAUUAACGUGUCUUCAUUAACAAACGACAUGUUCUCAAUCCUCAUGAGGAUCAUGACAUCAUGUCAAAGUAUUUACAUAUGGAAUUUUCAACCGAAAUUUUUUCAUCUCAAGAAUUCUAAGCGUAUAUAUAUUAUUAAUACUACACUCCAAUAACAAAUAUCUCAAAGCGAAAACGACGUGAACCGUGUGAUUGAAUGAUCACUCGAUCAUUUUUAGGACAACGCAAAGAAUAAUUAAUCCUUAUCCUUAACACAAAUUCGGCAGGUGGGACAAAAUGAUGAGGUCGUGAUCACAAGGGAUACAAAAAAAGCAAUUAACACAUAUUUGUUUUCUUCUACAACCGUUACUUACUCACUCCUCUACAAAAAGAAGAGGCUAAGGAACUCAAAAGGGACUCAUCCUCUGUCAAAAACGUUUUAAUUCUCAGGGUAAACAAAACAUCAAGAGCAAAAAAUGGCGACUAGAAUGGUUGAGCCUGCAGUGAAUCCGACGAAGACAGAGGCGUCUAGUUUAGUUGGGAAGCUUGAGAUAGAUGUUGACAUCAGAGCUUCCGCUGGGAAGUUCCAUCACAUGUUUGCUGGGAGACCACACCAUGUCUCCAAAGCAUCUCCAGGCAACAUUCAAGGUUGUGAUCUGCAUGAAGGUGACUGGGGCAAAGUCGGCUCUAUCGUCUACUGGAACUAUGUUCAUGGCAAGUCAAAGUUUUAUAUAUAUAAGUAUUAAUUGAUUCUAUUAAUUCUUAUAAUAAUUAAGAAACUAGCACCGAUUCAUUUAAUUCUUAAUUUUUGUCAAUUGGUUAUGAGUUUGGAAAUCUAUAAACUUAACAGAACCCAUAUAUAUGAAAUGUCAAAAAUUUACUAUGUAAUACGACCGUUUGUCUAUCAUCAUUCGAUUUAAAUACAUGCACCUGCCUAUAUAAUAUGUUCCAGAACUAAUAUUGAUCAUAUCGAUUCUCAGAGUCAAUAUGACCCAAACAUAAAUUAAUACAUAUUUGGUUGGUGCAGAUGGGGAGGCAAAAGUGGCAAAAGAAAGGAUAGAGGCAGUGGAGCCGGAGAAAAACAUGAUCACUUUUCGGGUGAUAGAGGGAGAUUUAUUAAAAGAGUAUAAGAGCUUUGUGAUCACUAUCCAAGUGACUCCUAAACAGGGAGGGCCAGGGAGUACAGUGCACUGGCACGUUGAGUAUGAGAAAAUUGACGAAAAAGUGGCUCACCCAGAGACCUUCCUUGAGUUCUGUGUUCAAGUUUCCAAAGAGAUCGAUGAACAUCUCCUGAACGAGGAAUGAGAAGAGUGCUAGCUCUUUAAUAGUGUAUGAUCUAUCCCUAUAUACAUGUGCCAUGAAUCAUGCCUGUAUUCUAGUAGUAAUCUAGUCUAUGAAAGUCCAAAAAAUAAGGAGCCGUGUGCGAUAUCGAGAUGAGUAUUGAGUGAUAUAUGAAAGUACUCUAAAUGUGUGUAUAUGUCAAGUACUUGUUUUUAAUAAAAGCUUGUAAUAUAUUUUUGUGGAUAAAUUAAGGCUCUUCUCUAUGCUAUCAUGUAUCGAUGAAACCCUCGAUUGGUCUCGUAUUUUCAUAUUUUCAAAACGUAAUUCAACAGUCUACAUACUAUUCCUAAUAUCCUGCACGAAAUGGUAAAAUUUGAUAAUUAACAAGUGAAUUUUCCUAUUUGUUUUGAUAGUUUUAAAACUAUAAUUAUUGUAGAGAAGUAGUUUUUUGGAAUCCAUAGCCGAGAAAAAUGUUUGAAUCAAUAUUUAGAUAGCCAAAAGACAUAGCCAAGAAAAACAAUUACGGCAUAUAAUUUAAAAGAAUAAAGACAUUAAUGGUUCGAAAAUAGUAGUGUGUAAUUUAUUGAAGUCACAAAGAGCUAUUCUCUUUUUUUGGAACACAGUUGUAAUUGCAUGUUACCAAAAAAAAAAAUGUAAUCUAUUCUUUUAAAACAGAAGCACAUUUAGUGCUUGCAUCCAAAUACUCCUAAAGUUUUUUUUAUAAUAUUUUAUUUUAUUUUUAUAUUUAAUUUCUGAAAAUUAGUUAUUAAUUUAGAUAUUUUUAGAUUUUCUAAAAUCUAGGUCAUUAUUAAUUUAAAUUUCAAAUUAUUAGAAAUUUAAUAAAAUUUAGUUACAAAAAUUUGUAUUCAAUUUAACUUAAAUUCAAAAAAUUCAAAAAAAAAUUUAAUUAAAUUUUAUUACAAAAAUUUAGAUAAUAAUUUUAAUACUUUAAAUUUUCUUAAAUACAGAAGAGAUUUAAUUUAAAAUUUUAAAUUUAAAUAAUAUUUUUAUAAAAAUACAUAGUAAAUAAAUAUUUUAUCGUAUUUUAUCAUAAUCAAUUGGUCUAAAAUAUCAAAUAUUUGAGAUUAAUAAAUAUUUAUAUUAUACAAUAAUAUGAUCAAGCUGAUUAGAGUUAUAUAUAUAUAUAUAUAUAUUUAAGGUCCAUGAGUUAAUUUAUUAAAACAUGUAAGAUAUUAAGAUGAUUUGAGACAAUUAAACUAACAGGUUAGCCAGUUUAUAUAUAUAUAUAUAUAUAUAUACAUUUUUUUAAUAGCACAAAUAGUAAAUAAAUAUUUUAUUAUAUUUUUUCAUAAUCAAUUGGUCCAAAUAUUCUAUAUUAGUAAAUAUUUAUAGGGUUAUACAAUUAUAAUUAUAGUCUUAUACGGGUUAGUUUGUCAAAACAUGUAAGAUAUUAAAAAUGAUUUAAGAUAACUAAACGGAUGGAUUAGCAAAUUCAUAGAUAUAUAGAUUUUUUAUGUGUAAAUCUAAAUUCACAUAAUAACAAAGUUUAUAAUUAAUAUUAGAUCAAUGUAUACUUAAUUAACGUAUACUCUUAUUCUACUAAUAUACAAAUUUUACUGUUUAAAAUUUAAAUAUGAUAACAAUUUUUUGAUUUAAAAAAAUAAAUAACAAAAACAAAUUAUAUCUAAACAAAAAAGAUAAAUGCAACUUAUAUUAGAAAUAAAAAAUAAAACAUUCUCGUGCAGACGCACGGAGUUAAAAUCUAGUUGCUUUUUAAUGUUCGAACAUAUGAGGGGAUCAUAUAGGCUUCUAAGCCCAUAAUUUUAAGCCAUUGGAUACUUUCAGUUUUUCCUCAAAAGCUUUCAUUUUUAUUAAUAGAAAAAAAUUUGGCUGUCUAGAUAUUUUAUCUUUAGAUGGCUAAAAUCAUAUGAAAAAUAUGAUUUUGACCAUAUGAUCAACGAAAAAUCAACCAAUUCUUGAGAUAAUUGAGAAGAAAAAUUAUUUUCUCUAUAAAAUAGACUAAAAAGCACAAAAAAAAAAAUCCAGAUACUAAUCACCAUCUAUCUACACAGUCACUCAACACAGGAUCAGCAAAAGAUUUCUAUUUUCAUAUUGCAAAUAUGAGAUCCCGAACAGCCAUUUAUCAAGAUCUUUGUGACCUGGGCCCGUAAUAAGCUGGCCUCUCUCACUCUGUCCCGCAAUUAACACAGGUUUCGUUGUCAAGUUUGUUUACACUGGACCUGAGCAUUUACUUCUAGGUAACAAAUUUCAGUUCCUACCAAACAUUUUAUCUCCCCAGACGAGUUUAAUUAAAAGCGUAGUUUUGUCCUAGGAGUUCUUCUCUGUAAUUUUUUUUACGCAAUUUAAAUAGAUAAACAAACUCCACUGAAAAGCAAUUACAAAUUAAACAUAAGCUGAGAAAUGAGCGGAGGAGUGGAACGUGUGUUUGUAUUUGAUACAAGAAUCUAAUAAUAUAUCUGAUUUCGUAUCUCGCUAAAAACAUUUCUUAUCAGUUCUUCUAGUGGAAGAAAGAAAAAGAUGCUGAAAUGAGCUUUCUUGCCCUGCAAAUAUGCGAAAUGAAGAAGAAAAUUUAUAAUUGUUAUUUUUUUUCGUCACCAUGUUAUUGUGUUUUUAUGGAAUUGAUUGGGAUAUCUUGCAAAGAUCAUGACUCCCCAUUUUCGUCCGCAAUAACACAAACACACGUACAUGUAAGACCCACACUGCCACACACGUUUUUCUAUAUUUCAAAAUUAAAACACCCCAUAAUGUUUGUGUAAAUGCAACCACUUAUCAUUGUCUCCCAAUCCCGCCCAUAUUUUGCAAAGAUCAUUCUUUGUAUUUUUUAGAGUAAUUCUAUUAAAUUCUUAUCAAAUGACAAUAUCAUGUAGCAAAAUUGAAUAACACAAACAUUUAAUAGAAUAAAAAAUCAAUAAAUUGUAUAACACUAGAAUUUAAAGUAAUUUAGAAAAAUGAUUAGAACUACAAUCCAAUAACACAUGAAUUUAAAAAAAUUCAUGACAUACAAUAUUGAAUAACAAUAGAAUUUUAUAGAAAGUCUAAUUCAUUCUAAUUCAAUUAAAUUCUUUGUAAAUUGAUUAGCGAAAACUUCAUCAUCAGAAAUAUCAGUUAUAAACAACGCAAAUAAUUUAUGUACUUUUUGGUUAAUGAUUAAUCUCUUUCCGUUUUAUAAACAGUAUUAGUUUUGAUUUUUUUUUUUUACAAAGAGUUUCAUUUUAUAUUUUCAAUAUAAACUUUAAGACAAGUUUCCUAUUUCACCCAAACUUUUUUUUACAAUAUAAGUUAUUAGGAUCGGUUCAACGAAAAAUUGGGCUCAACUUAUUAAAAUAAACCCAAAUAUUAUUUGAACCCCAACUUUAAACUCAUUCCAUCCCAGCGUUGGACAUGGUCUUACAUAUAAUUUGUAUGAUUAAGAUUUUUCUUAAUUUUCUUUUAUAACAAAGGAUAAUUAGAUCCCAUCUAACUAAUCAUUCUAGAUGAGUGAUGAGUGAUGACAUUGACUAAUCUAUACUUCAGAUUUUUAAAUAAGUUUAAAAUGUGACACCAUUUUCGAUUUGCCAACAGGGAGUGGUUUGAUAAUUUUACGCUUCCGAGGAAUUGAUCCAUGGGAUUAAUUUACAUAAUCAAUCAUUUUCUUUCAUUAAUUUAAAAUAGAAUCAAAAAUAGCACUACUUUACGGAGUUGGAAUGAGAGUGAGAAUGAAGAAGAUUUUAUAUUACGGGAGAUAGGGUCAUAUAUGCAAAUAGUUGUUUACUUAUGUAUAUUUGGUAAUUUACAUCUUUUGUAUUAGGUUAAUCUUCUUGUAUAUAAGGCUAAGCCUUAGCACCGUAAUCAAUAAGAAAACCUUUAUACCAAAUCCUAGGUUUCUUGACAUGGUAUCAGAGCUUAACCUAAAAUUUUAGGCUUAAUCGAUCCUUGCUUAUCGAAAUCUACUGUUUGAUAUCUCUGUUUUCUAAAUCCUAUCUCUCUUUGACCUUAGUAUUUUCGAUCCCUUUGUCGAAAUACUCUCUUGAUUCACGAUGACUGAUAAUAGUCAGGUCGUGCAAACUACUUCUACACCAGUAUCGAAGGCUCCAGCUCGUUCUGAUACGGAACGUCGACGGAUUGAUCCUUACGAUCUCUCUUCAGGUGAUAACCCUGGAUCUGUCAUAUCUACACCACCACUUCGAGGUCCAAAUUAUGAUGAAUGGGCGUUGAAUCUUCGACUUGCUUUACGUGCGAGAAAGAAGUUUGGUUUUGUCGAUGGGUCUAUCCCUCAACCUGAUGAGGAUUCUGGUGAUCUUGACGAUUGGUGGGCGAAUAAUGCUAUGGUCGUAUCUUGGAUUAAAAAUACGAUUGCUCCAGACCUUAGCAGUUCGCUGUCUCACCAUGAAAUUGCCCAGGAUUUAUGGACGCACAUUCAAAAACGGUUCUCCGUAAAGAAUGGUCAACGCGUUCAGCGACUCAAAACAGAGCUCGCUAAUUGUCAACAAAAGGGUCUCGCGGUGGAGGCUUACUAUGGCAAACUGAUAAAGAUCUGGACGAGUUUAGCGGAUUUUCAACGAGCAAAGACGGCGGAUGAAAUUGCGCAAGAAAGAGAGGAAGACAAACUCCAUCAGUUUUUGAUGGGUUUGGACGAAGCUAGCUUUGGAGCAGUGAAGUCUUCAUUGUUGUCACGCGACCCUCUCCCCUCUCUCGAUGAAGCUUACCAGGUCGUGACUCAAGAUGAGGAAUCUAAGCGUGCAAGUCGGAUGUUGGAGGAACGUAAUGAUGCGGCGAGUUUUGCAGUUCAAACUCAAUCUCGAUCACGUCCACACACAGACCUUCGAGAUCCCUCUGCUGUCUGCACAUUGUGUGGACGGGUCAUCUUGCGGCCAAUUGUUUCCGCAAAAUUGGAUAUCCGACUUGGUGGAAAGACAGACCUCGUGGGAAGCUUCCUUCGUCACAGGAUGGUGCGACAACCACAUCGACCCCGCGUCAGACUUCUGCUCCGUCAUCAGCUCCUCGGCAACCUGACGUGGCUCGAGCUAAUCAAGUGAUGGUGGCUGGACCAAUUUCCUCUGCUCAUUCGGUGAUUACUAGUGCUGAUCGGAUUGGUUUUUCUGGUCUUGAUGAUCAACAGUGGAAAACUUUGGUCGCCAUGCUCAACAGUCGAAACUCGGGUACUCAGGAUCAUCUCUCCGGUAAGUUUUUUGUUGAAUCAUGGAUUAUUGAUACUGGUGCUUCUAAUCAUAUGACUGGUAGCAUCGAUUUUCUGAUGGACGUGUGUGAUAUGUCACCGAUUCACAUCAAAUUACCGGAUGGUCGCUUUACUAUCUCCACCAAACGUGGGAAAGUUGCUCUUGGGUCUUCAGUACAGUUGCUUAAUGUGUUCUUUGUGGAUGGGUUACAGUGCCAUCUCAUCUCUGUCUCUCAGCUAACUCGGGAUUGUGGUUGACUAUUUCAGAUUUCUGAUAAACUUUGUGUUGUCCAGGACCGCAUCACACAGAUGCUGAUUGGAGCGGGUGAGCAGUUAAACGGUCUCUAUUUUUUCCGGGGAAUUGGAGCUGUAGCAGCAACACAUGUCUCGGCGAAGCAGUCCAUGGAUGUGUGGCAUAAGCGCUUAGGUCAUCCAUCCUCGUCGGUGAUGGAGAUGUUGGUGUUGAUUUUAAGACUUGCGAUGUUUGUAUUCGUGCUAAGCAGACACGCGAUUCUAAACUUUGAGUAGUAAUAAAACUUCAUCUGUUUUUGAACUAGUUCAUUGCGACUUAUGGGGUCCGUAUCGGACAACAUCUUUAUGUGGAUCACGCUAUUUCCUCACCAUCGUAGAUGACUACUCCCGGGCACUUUGGAUUUAUUUGUUGCCAAAUAAAACUGAAACUGCCACUACACUUCGCAACUUCAUCUCUCUUGUUGAACGACAAUUCGAACGACAAGUAAAAACGAUACGUAGUGAUAAUGGCUCUGAGUUUUUGAGUUUAUCUGCGCAUUUUCGAGACAAGGGCAUUAUCCAUGAGACGUCUUGUGUUGGGACACCGCAACAGAACGGGAGAGUAGAACGUAAGCAUCGUCACAUACUUAACGUUGCUCGUGCUCUUCGGUUUCAGGCUAAGCUUCCAGUUGAUUUUUGGAGCUUCUGUAUCCUCACCGCAGGCUACUUAAUUAAUCGCACACCAUCGGCGGUUCUUAAAGGCAAGUCGCCUUUUGAAAUCCUUUAUGAUCGCUUGCCCCCAUUCAACCAUUUGAGAGUAUUUGGUUGCCUUUGUUAUGUCCAUAACCAACGUCAUUGUGGAGACAAAUUCGCGACAAAGGGAAAUCGAUCAGUUUUUCUUGGAUAUCCUUUUGGGAAGAAAGGGUGGAAAGUCUAUGAUUUAGAGAGUGGCAUCAUAUCUACGUCCCGUGAUGUUAUCUUUGUCGAGACUGAAUUUCCCUUCUCCAACCCCGAGUCUCUUGAGGUUCUUCCUUCAGCAAUGAGUUCUGGGUCAUGGUUUCAUGAUGAUGAUGACGUGUUUGCUUUACCUUCUUCGUCAUCUUCUCAUUCGCCGAUUGUUUUGGAACAGGACACUGUUAUUGUUUCCCCUCCACCUGCUUUGGAAUUAGCUGAUACGUCUGCAGUGGUUCCAUCUAUACCUGCACCGGAAGCUUCAUCGUCAUCGUCCCCUAGUUCUGAUUUGUCGUUGAUCACUAAACCUGACGAUGAUGAUGAUCAUGGUGACCCAACUCCGGUGGUCGAACCUAUGGGUAGAGGGUGUCGUACUAAGAUUCCUUCGACGCGACUUCAGGGUUUUGUGACCAAUACGGUUCAUCUCGGGUCUGAUAGUGAUUGCGUCGAUUCCUCUUGGUAUCCACUUGCUGACUAUGUGGAUUGUUCUCGGUUUUCAGAUCAUCAUCGUGCAUUUUUAGCUGCUAUAUCUGCAGGUGAGAUACCUCAGACUUGGCAACAAGCGUUCGAAUAUGAACGGUGGCGUGGUGCAGCUCGCACUGAGAUUGAUGCUCUUGAGGAAAGUGGGACUUGGACUGUUGAGUCAUUACCGCCUGGUAAGAAGGCUUUAGGAUGCAAAUGGGUCUUUACUAUUAAAUACCGGGCUGAUGGAACGAUUGAGAGGUAUAAAGCGCGGCUUGUUGUGCUUGGCAAUAAUCAGACCGAAGGCGUUGACUACGAGGAAACGUUUGCUCCAGUUUGUAAGAUGACCACGGUUCGUUCAUUUUUGGAGGUUUCUGUUUCACGUGAUUGGGAAGUUCAUCAGAUGGACGUUCACAACGCAUUUUUACAUGGUGAUUUGGACGAAGAGGUGUUUAUUCGGUUUCCUCCGGGUUUUCGUACUAAUGACAGCACCCAAGUUUGUCGACUUCAUAAAUCGUUGUACGGUCUCAAACAGGCACCACGGUGUUGGUUUGCUAAACUCUCAUCAGCACUUAAAGAGUAUGGGUUUGUUCAAGACCUUAAGGACUAUUCUCUGUUUACGUUUGAGACUGAUGAUUUUCGGAUACAUGUUCUUGUUUAUGUCGACGAUCUUAUUGUCUCGGGAAGUACACCAGCGGUGAUUCGAGAGUUUAAGGAGUAUCUCAGCUCAUGUUUUCGGAUGAAAGAUUUGGGUGUCCUGAAAUACUUCUUGGGCAUAGAAGUUGCACGAAGACCGCAAGGGAUGUAUUUGUGUCAACGUAAAUACACAUUAGAUAUCAUUUCUGAGGUGGGGUUACUUGGAGCUAAACCAGUUUCACAUCCCAUCGAGCAGAAUCAUACUUUGGCUUUGUCUACUAGCAAUCUUCUUGCUGAUCCACAUCCUUAUCGCAGAUUGGUUGGACGUCUUAUUUACCUUCGCGUCACCAGACCGGAACUCUCUUAUGCUGUCCACAUCUUGUCUCAGUUCAUGCAUGCUCCACGGAUUGAACAUUGGAAUGCAGCGUUGCGGGUGGUUCGGUAUUUAAAGAAUAAUCCUGGUCAGGGCAUUCUUCUUCGAGCUGACUCAGACUUACGCCUCGCGGUUUGGUGCGACUCCGACUGGGCUAGUUGCCCCGUGUCUCGACGUUCUCUCACUGGGUGGUUUAUACAACUUGGUGGCUCUCCUAUCUCAUGGCUUACGCGUAAACAUAAGGUGGUUUUCCGUUCUUCGACAGAGGCCGAAUAUCGAGCUCUCGCGGAUACUGUAAGUGAGGUCUUGUGGCUUCGCGAACUUCUUGGUACUCUUGGCGUGGACUGCACUUAUACGAUUCCUGUGUAUUGUGAUAGUCAGUCUGCGAUUCAUUUGAGUGCUAAUCCGGUGUUUCACGAACGUACUAAACAUGUUGAAGCUGACUGCCAUUUCAUUCGGGAUGAGAUUGUGCGAGGUGUUAUCUCGACUAUACAUGUUUCUACUACUGCACAACUUGCUGAUAUUUUUACGAAAGCUCUUGGACGGAAGGAGUUCGAAGCAUUCAGGUCCAAGCUGGGUAUUUGUGACCUUCAUACUCCAGCUUGAGGGGGGUAUUACGGGAGAUAGGGUCAUAUAUGCAAAUAGUUGUUUACUUAUGUAUAUUUGGUAAUUUACAUCUUUUGUAUUAGGUUAAUCUUCUUGUAUAUAAGGCUAAGUCUUAGCACCGUAAUCAAUAAAAAACCUUUAUACCAAAUCCUAGGUUUCUUGACAUUUUACUUUAAAAUAAAAUCUAUAGCGAAAAUAGUAAAGGUAGAAAAACUUUUACAAAACAUAAAAAAAAAAUCUUAAAGCUAGAGACACAUUUAUUUAAAAGAAGGAAAAAGAAGGUAGGCUUUCGGUGGAAACAUUAAUGAAAAUAUACAUGUUUUAUCUUUUCGUUAUCGCUCGCUAUCGUCAGGUGGGUCAGAAUGAUUUACUGAGGGUUGUGAUAGAGUGAUCACAAUAAAAAUAGUCUUUUACGUCAACAGUUGCUCAUUCAAUCCUCUACAUAAAGGGCAAUAGAGUUCCCAAAGGAAACUCACUCAUUAGAAAAAAAAAAAAAAAAAAACCUAAUUUCCUUGAGAAAACCAAACCAGCAGGAGAGAAAAUGGCGGAGGUUGCUACUGAAAUUGCAAAGAAAGUGGAGGAAAAGGCGGAGACUCAAGUAACAAUGGCACCAACUAAAAUGGUCGAGGCUGCUACGGCAAAAGAGGCGGAGACCACCGUGACGGCAGCACCUGCUAAAACGGUCGAGGCUACAAACAAACCGGUGAAAGAUGAGGAGGUAAAGACAACAGAUACGUCUAGUUUGGUGGGGAAGCUAGAGACAGAUGUGGAGAUCAAAGCUUCCGCUGAGAAGUUCCAUCACAUGUUCACCGGGAAACCACACCAUGUUUCCAAAGCAUCUCCUGGCAACAUUCAGGGCUGUGAUCUCCACGAAGGCGAAUGGGGCAAACCAGGCUCUAUCAUCUACUGGAACUACGUUCAUGGCAAGUUAACAUAAUUAUUAUAUACAUCUUUUUCCUUACAUAACCAGGAGAUUUCUAAUCCAAAAAUCAGACAGUUUUUUGGAGCCGUGUGGUCACGAAGCGCCUUUUAUUAUAAUUUUUAAAAAUAUAUGAAUGUUUAUCCUCAAAUGUAAACCUAUAAGGCUAUAACUAUCAAAUGUUAAAUAAUUGGUGCAGAUGGUGAGGCAAAGGUGGCGAAGGAGAGGAUCGAGGCGGUGGAGCCGGAGAAGAACCUGAUCACGUUCAGGGUUAUAGAAGGUGAUCUGAUGAAAGAGUACAAAAGCUUCUUGCUCACCAUUCAGGUGACCCCUAAGCAUGGUGGGCCAGGGAGU
rnacentral:lncRNA from 1 species